rnacentral:lncRNA from 1 species
CAAAUGACUCCUCCCACAAUAUUAUGAUGUUCCCCAAGUUUUGGACUCAAUCCGUUAUCGAUUGGUCCUUGAAAUCGGACAAUUCAGGUUCGUACGAAGUUCGUUCUGAAAUGGGAUGGUUGGUGUAUUGUAUAGUUCUAGAGAUUGGAUUUCACUCAAAACCCACCAAAUGACUCCUCCCAGAAUAUUAUGAUGUUACCCAAGUUUUGGACUCAAUCCGAUAUCGAUUGGUCCUUGAAAUCGGACAAUUCAGGUUCGUACGAAGUUCGUUCUGAAAUGGGUUGGUUGGUGUAUUGUAUAGUCCUAGAGAUUGGAUUUCACUCAAAACCCACCGAAUGACUCCCCCCACAAUAUUAUGAUGUUCACCACGUUUUGGACUCAAUCCGAUAUCGAUUGGUCCUUGAAAUCGGACAGUUCAGGUUCCUACGAACUUCGUUCUGAAAUGGGGUGGUUGGUGUAUUGUAUAGUUCUAGAGUUUGGAUUUCACUCAAAACCCAUCAAAUGACUCCUACCACAAUAUUAUGAUGUUCCCCAAGUUUUGGACUCAAUCCGUUAUCGAUUCGUCAAUGAAAUCGGACAAUUCAGGUUCGUACGAAGUUCGUUCUGAAAUGGGGUGGUUGGUGUGUUGUAUAGUUCCAGAGAUUGGAUUUCACCCAAAACCCACCAAAUGACUCCUCCCACAAUAUUAUGAAGUUCCCCAUGUUUUGGACACAAUCCGAUAUCGAUUGGUCCUUGAAAUCGGACAAUUCAGGUUCCUACGAAGUUCGUUCUGAAAUGGGGUGGUUGGUGUAUUGUAUAGUUCUAAAGAUUGGAUUUCAUUCAAAACCCGCCAUAUGACUCCUCCCAGAAUAUUAUGAUGUUCCCCAAGUUUUGGACUCAAUCCGAUAUCGAUUGGCCCUUGAAAUCGGACAAUUCAGGUUCCGACGAAGUUCGUUCUGAAAUGGGUUGGUUGGUGUAUUGUAUAGUUCUAGAGAUUGGAUAUCACUCAAAACCCACCAAAUGACUCCUCCCACAAUAUUAUGAUGUUCCCCAAGUUUUGGACUCAAUCCGAUAUCGAUCGGUCAACGAAAUUUGACAAUUCAGGUUCGUACGUAGUUCGUUCUAAAAUGGAGUGGUUGGUGUAUUGUAUAGUUCUUCGGAUUGUAUUUCACUCAAAACUUUCCAAAUGACUCCUCCCACAAUAUUAUGAUGGUCCCCAAGUUUUGGACUCAAUCCGAUAUCGAUUGGUCCUUGAAAUCGGACAAUUCAAGUUCGUACGAAGUUCGUUCUGAAAUGGGGUGGUUGGUGUAUUGUAUAGUUGUAGAGAUUGGAUUUCACUCAAAACCCACCAAAUGACUCCUCCUAGAAUAUUGUGAUGUUCCCCAAGUUUUGGACUCAAUCCGAUAUCGAUUGGUCCUUGAAAUCGGACAACUCAGGUUCGUACGAAGUUCGUUCUGAAAUGGGUUGGUUGGUGUAUUGUAUAGUUCUAGAGAUUGGAUUUCACUCAAAACCCACCAAAUGCCUCCUCCCACAAUAUUAUGAGGUUCCCCAAGUUUUGGACUCAAUCCGAUAUCGAUUGGUCCUUGAAAUCGGACAAUUCAGGUUCCUACGAAGUUUGUUCUGAAAUGGGGUGGUCGGUGUAUUGUAUAGUUCUACAGAUUGGAUUUCACUCAAAACCCACCAAAUGACUCCUCCCACAAUAUUAUGAUGUUCCCCAAGUUUUGGACUCAAUCCGAUACCGAUCGGUCUACGAAAUUUGACAAUUCAGGUUCGUACGA